GUGGGGAAUCUUGCGCAAUGGGCGAAAGCCUGACGCAGCCAUGCCGCGUGAAUGAUGAAGGUCUUAGGAUUGUAAAAUUCUUUCACCGGGGACGAUAAUGACGGUACCCGGAGAAGAAGCCCCGGCUAACUUCGUGCCAGCAGCCGCGGUAAUACGAAGGGGGCUAGCGUUGCUCGGAAUUACUGGGCGUAAAGGGCGCGUAGGCGGACAGUUUAGUCAGAGGUGAAAGCCCAGGGCUCAACCUUGGAAUUGCCUUUGAUACUGGCUGUCUUGAGUACGGGAGAGGUGAGUGGAACUCCGAGUGUAGAGGUGAAGUUCGGAGAUAUUCGGAAGAACGCCAGUGGCGAAGGCGACUCACUGGCCCGUUACUGACGCUGAGGCGCGAAAGCGUGGGGAGCAAACAGGAUUAGAAACCCGGGUAGUCC
rnacentral:rRNA from 1 species